GAUGAACGCUGGCGGCGUGCCUAAUACAUGCAAGUCGAGCGAACAGACGAGGAGCUUGCUCCUCUGACGUUAGCGGCGGACGGGUGAGUAACACGUGGAUAACCUACCUAUAAGACUGGGAUAACUUCGGGAAACCGGAGCUAAUACCGGAUAAUAUAUUGAACCGCAUGGUUCAAUAGUGAAAGACGGUUUUGCUGUCACUUAUAGAUGGAUCCGCGCCGCAUUAGCUAGUUGGUAAGGUAACGGCUUACCAAGGCAACGAUGCGUAGCCGACCUGAGAGAGGGAUCGGCCACACUGGAACUGAGACACGGUCCAGACUCCUACGGGAGGCAGCAGUAGGGAAUCUUCCGCAAUGGGCGAAAGCCUGACGGAGCAACGCCGCGUGAGUGAUGAAGGUCUUCGGAUCGUAAAACUCUGUUAUUAGGGAAGAACAAAUGUGUAAGUAACUAUGCACGUCUUGACGGUACCUAAUCAGAAAGCCACGGCUAACUACGUG
rnacentral:rRNA from 1 species